rnacentral:rRNA from 1 species
UACAGAGGGUGCGAGCGUUGUCCGGAAUCACUGGGCGUAAAGGGCGCGUAGGCGGUCUGCUAAGCGUGUGGUGAAAGCUCGGGCUCAACCCGAGUCGGCCGUGCGAACUGGUGGACUGGAGCAUGUCAGAGGCAGGCGGAAUUCCGGGUGUAGCGGUGGAAUGCGUAGAGAGUCCGGAAGAACACCGGUGGCGAAGGCGGCCUGCUGGCCAAUACUGACGCUCAUGCACGAAAGCGUGGGGAGCAAACAGG